rnacentral:misc_RNA from 1 species
AUCUCGGUGUUUUUUAUUUCAGUUGCCUAGAAAAUUUAAGGAGCCUUGGGAUAAAAAUGAAUGACAGCAUUUGUUGUGGUUGUUGUUCGAUCCAACUUCUAAGCAGCAUUUAUGUUUGCCUGCUUUCUAAUUCGAAAAAAGUUAAUAGUUAAUUGGGUGCAAGAUAAAUUUGAUUGCGUUACAACAUGGUGAUGAGAUACUGAUGGGACAUUGAUCUAUUUGAUCAUUUCUAGGGAUGCUUUUCUACCCUCGAUUCUGAAUUUCAAUUUGUUGUGG